GACGAACCGUGCGAACGUUGUUCGGAAUCACUGGGCUUAAAGGGACGCGUAGGCGGCUCUCUUGGUCGUGGGUGAAAUCCCCCAGCUUAACUGGGGAACUGCCUACGAUACCGGGGAGCUCGAGGGAGGAAGGGGCGGUCGGAACUGUCGGUGGAGCGGUGAAAUGCGUUGAUAUCGACAGGAACGCCGGUGGCGAAAGCGGACCGCUGGCCCUCUUCUGACGCUGAGGCGCGAAAGCCAGGGGAGCCGAACGGG
rnacentral:rRNA from 1 species